rnacentral:rRNA from 1 species
GGUUAAGCGACUAAGCGUACACGGUGGAUGCCCUGGCAGUCAGAGGCGAUGAAGGACGUGCUAAUCUGCGAAAAGCGACGGCGAGGUGAUAUGAACCUUUGACCCGUCGAUGUCCGAAUGGGGAAACCCAGUGCAAUCCGUUGCACUAUCGUUAACUGAAUACAUAGGUUAACGAGGCGAACCGGGGGAACUGAAACAUCUAAGUACCCCGAGGAAAAGAAAUCAACCGAGAUUCCCCCAGUAGCGGCGAGCGAACGGGGAGCAGCCCGGAGUCUGAAUCAGCUUGUGUGUUAGUGGAAGCGUCUGGAAAGUCGCACGGUACAGGGUGACAGUCCCGUACACGAAAAUGCACAGGUUGUGAACUCGAAGAGUAGGGCGGGACACGUGGUAUCCUGUCUGAAUAUGGGGGGACCAUCCUCCAAGGCUAAAUACUCCUGACUGACCGAUAGUGAACCAGUACCGUGAGGGAAAGGCGAAAAGAACCCCGGCGAGGGGAGUGAAAAAGAACCUGAAACCGUGUACGUACAAGCAGUGGGAGCACCUUCGUGGUGUGACUGCGUACCUUUUGUAUAAUGGGUCAGCGACUUAUAUUCUGUAGCAAGGUUAACCGUAUAGGGGAGCCGCAGGGAAACCGAGUCUUAACUGGGCGUUAAGUUGCAGGGUAUAGACCCGAAACCCGGUGAUCUAGCCAUGGGCAGGUUGAAGGUUGGGUAACACUAACUGGAGGACCGAACCGACUAAUGUUGAAAAAUUAGCGGAUGACCUGUGGCUGGGGGUGAAAGGCCAAUCAAACCGGGAGAUAGCUGGUUCUCCCCGAAAGCUAUUUAGGUAGCGCCUCGUGAACUCAUCUUCGGGGGUAGAGCACUGUUUCGGCUAGGGGGCCAUCCCGGCUUACCAACCCGAUGCAAACUACGAAUACCGAAGAAUGUUAUCACGGGAGACACACGGCGGGUGCUAACGUCCGUCGUGAAGAGGGAAACAACCCAGACCGCCAGCUAAGGUCCCAAAGUCAUGGUUAAGUGGGAAACGAUGUGGGAAGGCACAGACAGCCAGGAUGUUGGCUUAGAAGCAGCCAUCAUUUAAAGAAAGCGUAAUAGCUCACUGGUCGAGUCGGCCUGCGCGGAAGAUGUAACGGGGCUAAACCAUGCACCGAAGCUGCGGCAGCGACGCUUAUGCGUUGUUGGGUAGGGGAGCGUUCUGUAAGCCGUUGAAGGUGUGCUGUGAGGCAUGCUGGAGGUAUCAGAAGUGCGAAUGCUGACAUAAGUAACGAUAAAGCGGGUGAAAAGCCCGCUCGCCGGAAGACCAAGGGUUCCUGUCCAACGUUAAUCGGGGCAGGGUGAGUCGACCCCUAAGGCGAGGCCGAAAGGCGUAGUCGAUGGGAAACAGGUUAAUAUUCCUGUACUUGGUGUUACUGCGAAGGGGGGACGGAGAAGGCUAUGUCAGCCGGGCGACGGUUGUCCCGGUUUAAGCGUGUAGGUGUGUGUUCCAGGCAAAUCCGGUUCACUUUAACACUGAGGCGUGAUGACGAGGCACUACGGUGCUGAAGUGAUAAAUGCCCUGCUUCCAGGAAAAGCCUCUAAGCAUCAGGUAACACGAAAUCGUACCCCAAACCGACACAGGUGGUCAGGUAGAGAAUACCAAGGCGCUUGAGAGAACUCGGGUGAAGGAACUAGGCAAAAUGGUGCCGUAACUUCGGGAGAAGGCACGCUGAUAUGUAGGUGAAGUCCCUGCGGACGGAGCUGAAAUCAGUCGAAGAUACCAGCUGGCUGCAACUGUUUAUUAAAAACACAGCACUGUGCAAACACGAAAGUGGACGUAUACGGUGUGACGCCUGCCCGGUGCCGGAAGGUUAAUUGAUGGGGUUAGCGGCAACGCGAAGCUCUUGAUCGAAGCCCCGGUAAACGGCGGCCGUAACUAUAACGGUCCUAAGGUAGCGAAAUUCCUUGUCGGGUAAGUUCCGACCUGCACGAAUGGCGUAAUGAUGGCCAGGCUGUCUCCACCCGAGACUCAGUGAAAUUGAACUCGCUGUGAAGAUGCAGUGUACCCGCGGCAAGACGGAAAGACCCCGUGAACCUUUACUAUAGCUUGACACUGAACACUGGUCCUUGAUGUGUAGGAUAGGUGGGAGGCUUUGAAGCGUGGACGCCAGUCUGCGUGGAGCCGUCCUUGAAAUACCACCCUUUAAUGGCUGGUGUUCUAACGUGGACCCGUGAUCCGGGUUGCGGACAGUGUCUGGUGGGUAGUUUGACUGGGGCGGUCUCCUCCCAAAGAGUAACGGAGGAGCACGAAGGUUAGCUAAUCCUGGUCGGACAUCAGGAGGUUAGUGCAAUGGCAUAAGCUAGCUUGACUGCGAGAGUGACGGCUCGAGCAGGUGCGAAAGCAGGUCAUAGUGAUCCGGUGGUUCUGAAUGGAAGGGCCAUCGCUCAACGGAUAAAAGGUACUCCGGGGAUAACAGGCUGAUACCGCCCAAGAGUUCAUAUCGACGGCGGUGUUUGGCACCUCGAUGUCGGCUCAUCACAUCCUGGGGCUGAAGUAGGUCCCAAGGGUAUGGCUGUUCGCCAUUUAAAGUGGUACGCGAGCUGGGUUUAGAACGUCGUGAGACAGUUCGGUCCCUAUCUGCCGUGGGCGCUGGAGAAUUGAGGGGGGCUGCUCCUAGUACGAGAGGACCGGAGUGGACGCAUCACUGGUGUUCGGGUUGUCAUGCCAAUGGCACUGCCCGGUAGCUAAAUGCGGAAGAGAUAAGUGCUGAAAGCAUCUAAGCACGAAACUUGCCCCGAGAUGAGUUCUCCCUGAGACUUUAAGUCUCCUGAAGGAACGUUGAAGACGACGACGUUGAUAGGCCGGGUGUGUAAGCGCAGCGAUGCGUUGAGCUAACCGGUACUAAUGAACCGUGAGGCUUAACCUU